rnacentral:tRNA from 1 species
UUGGGAUGUAGUUCAGUGGUAGAGCAUGUGCUUAGAAUGCAUGAGGCCCUGGGUUUGAUCCUCAGCACCAAA